UAUCUCUCCUCUCUCCCCUCUCCCUUCCCCUUUACCCCAAACCCUAGACGCACCGCCCCUUCCUCCCUUUCUCUCUCUCCUCGUUGGAUUACCAGAAAUGGUAUUAAUACAGGGGGGUCAGACCCGUAUCAGCUUUAGCUCAACCAAAUCGGUGCAACACUUAAAGUUUCAUUGUCUCUUUCUUCUCAUUUCUGGCAAACUACGCCUACAAGCCACCUUAUGGCCCAGUAGAAGAAUUCUUUCGAAGAUUAUUGAAUUCAAGAAGAGAAAUGGAAGCUAAUAUUGUUAAAGACACCAAGAAGGCCCAGCCAUGGGUGAAAAUGGCCAACUAGGGGCUUCGUACGCCCCUACUCUUCCCUUCCUCUUUACUCAUGCAUUAUUCAUAUUUCCUUUGUAUGAAGUUGAUUGUAUCCUGUAUUUGUAAAGUUGUAAAACUCAUGUAUAUUAUUGGAAUCAUUAUUAUUAUGAA